rnacentral:tRNA from 1 species
GGGUCGCUAGCUCAAUUGGUUAGUAGCACCGGACUUUUAAUCCGGGGGUUCCGAGUUCGAGUCUCGGGCGACCCACCA